UUAGUCUUAUCUUGUUGAUGUCUGUCUCUUUGAGUUGUAUUGUUUAAGAAUUUAAGAUACUAAAGAAUUUCAAUAGUAAAAAACGUUACAAUAAGGAUUAUAUAUUUUGCCUCUGUCCUAUUAUUUCUUCCUUCACCAAUCUUGGGCAUUAUCUUAAGUGAUUAUCCUAAAUUCCACACUAUUCCCAAUUUUGGAAGGAUUUAGUAUGAUUAUACUAAAGUUCACUUUGAUUAGGUGAAAAAAAAGGGACUUUCUCAUUUUUCUGAUGUUUAUGUAUGUUUAGAAGGUUAGUGCAAUGGGCAGCACCAUGAGCAUUUGGACAAAUUUGGUAUGUUAUAGUCCUUUCAUCUUUGUAUAAUAAAAAGGACUUCUCUUUGUUAUUUUGUCAUUCUAUAAUACAACUUUAGAUGGAUAGGCUCUAACCAUUUGGCCCAUAAGACCAAUGCUUAGAAUGAUUGUUUAGGGAUAUUAAUGUCUUAAAGAACUAUUUGUGAUGACGUGAAGGUUACUCCUACGUUCUUUGGCUAUUAGUAAUUAUUCUUCUAUGUUUGUUGUAGAGGGCUGGUGAUGUUCUAUUCAUCCCAUGCUUCUGCAACCAAUUGCAAGGUCAUUGGGAAACUUUAUGCAGGUAUGGUCUAAGUGUUUGAAUGACCAAGACAAACUAGUAUUUGUUUGUGCAAUUUAGGCUCAUAUAUUGUGUAUGUACUCCUUUUGAGCAUGAUGACAUAUUUGGGCAUGGCCCUAUAUAAGUCCUGAUUGUAUUCUUUUUUUAGGUAAUCUAGUGAGGGAUUGGGCUUUUUGCUAAGCCAUUGGGUUUUCCUUUUUUUAUGUUUGCCUUUUCUUGUUGAUCUAUUAGUGCUUGAGGUUUGAGUAGCAGGAAAUUGAGAAUUUAAGUAACUUGUCAUAUCUAUUACUCGAUUUUACAAGUAUAUGUUUUGAUCACCAAUUUUUGCAAGUAUAUGUUCUUCUUUCCAAUGCUCUUUCAGCCUCAUUAAUCUUUGUUUUUCAGAAAAUGGAUGAACUUUGGAGAGCCUCAAAGUCAAGAUUAGGUUAAAAAAAAUGUGAAGGAAAAGACAAGUGGAAGUGAUCCUUUGGUGCCUAACCAACUUGUAUAGUUGAAUUGCAGAUUGGAGACAAAGAGCAAAAGAAGGUGCCGAUCCUCUUCCAUAUCCUAAGCCAAUUAAUUGCUUAGGAUGACCGAUUGAAACCCAAUGAUAGAUAUGAAGCUCGGCGAGCAAAUCCAUAAGACGAUAAUGUUGAUGUGCCUCUUGCUUGAAAUAAUGGUUGUAUUCGAGUUAUCCAUUGUUACAUUUGUUCUCAACUCCUAAGAUUGGGAGGGCUGGAAGGAUUGGAGAUGCUACGUAUUUCUGCUGGAUUUCUGGGGCUGAUGGAAUUUUGAUAUCUAUCAUUUUUGCUUUAAGUGGUGACUUAUCAAUGCUACAAGUCAGCUUGUGUUCUGAGUUAGGACUUGAGGAAGUGGUGAUCAUAGUUAUUUAGGAUUUAUCAGGUUUUUUGGAUUGGUUCUUUGGGUCAUUGUAUCCUUGGGCUCAUUCAAUCUUCAUUGAAUGCAAUCUUUUUCUUUUCUUUUCUUGUAGGCCUCUUUUGAAUAUACCUUCAUGAAUCAUCAGCUUAUUCUACACCUUUUGUUCCAAAAUUUUGUACCACAAGAAAUCGAGAAGAUUGCAGCAAUUCGAAGUGCUUGGCUUUGGAAGGAAAAAGAGACAACUCGAAUGACAAACAAGUUUGCAAUAUAGAAAAUUUUCAUUAAUUCAUUACUUUGGUUAGCUUGUUCACGGCUACCAUUUGUGCGAUUGGAGAUCUCGGUAGUAUUGUAUAAAUUAGGUCAUUGUAAUU